GACUCCGUGGCUUAAUGGUAACGGCUUCUGCCUCACAAGCAGAAGGUUCAGGGAUCAAAUCCCGGUCGGUACCU
rfam:Culex pipiens quinquefasciatus supercont3.364 genomic scaffold, whole genome shotgun sequence.